GGACAGCUCAGGCUCAAGUCCUGGAAGAUGAGGCUGUCUUCCCCAAGCAAAGUUCUUGGCAGCCAGGGCCUGGACAGACAAGGAGAUUCAGGGCCCCAGGACAAGUAGGGCCUGUCCUCACCUGUCUUCGAAUCCGUUCUGUCCUCCUUGGUACAGGGGACAGCACAGGCAAGGAGCCGGAGGCUCAGACGGACAGGGAGCUGGAGCCCCUCAGCGAGGUGCGUGUUGGGACAGUCCCACCUGCCCUAGGGGUGCUGAUGAUGGGCAGAAGCUGGGCACAGCUCCCAGCGCCACUUCCUACCUACCAGGAAUGUGGCAAACCCCCUCACCUCCAUGACCCUCGCAUUCUCACCUGGGCGGCACAGAUCAUCGGCCCAGCUCUGGCUCCAUUGCCAGGGCUCACGGGGAUGAAGCCACGCAGUACCUGGCUGUCCUCUGAUGUGUUUCAGACUGAAGGCCACUCCACAGGGACAGACCCAUGGGCCUGGCUGUGCCAUGGCUAGAAGGGACAAGCAGCGAGGAGUGGAGGGACAGAAGCAGUGCUGUCCCCCAGGCAACAGG
ensembl:lncRNA